rnacentral:rRNA from 1 species
UACGGAUGGUGCGAGCGUUGUCCGGAAUCACUGGGCGUAAAGGGCGCGUAGGCGGCCUGAUAAGUAGGGGGUGAAAUCCUGCGGCUUAACCGCAGGGCUGCCUUCUAAACUGUCAGGCUAGAGCACAGUAGAGGCAGGUGGAAUUCCCGGUGUAGCGGUGGAAUGCGUAGAGAUCGGGAAGAACAUCAGUGGCGAAGGCGGCCUGCUGGGCUGUUGCUGACGCUGAGGCGCGACAGCGUGGGGAGCAAACAGG